rnacentral:rRNA from 1 species
CCCUUAGAUGUCCUGGGCUGCACGCGCGCUACACUGGAAGUUACGGAUUGAGAUACUACCUUGUCCGAAAUGGUCCGGGUAAUCACCUAAAAGCUUGUCAUAAUUGGAAUGGAUUAUUGUAACUAGUAAUCCUGAACGAGGAAUUCCUAGUAAGUCCCAGUCAACAGCUGGUACUGAUUACGUCCCUGCCCUUUGUACACACCGCCCGUCGCUACUACUGAUUGGACGUCUAAGCAAGAUUUUUAAACACUGACAGUGUGUAGUUCACGCUAUACUACAGUGAGAAGAAGAAGAUCGAGCUUACUUGUCUAGAGGAAGUAAAAGUCGUAACA